GCGCUGCCUUUGAGCCCCUGGCACGCCUGCGUGUGGCCCCGGGAGUCAGGCUGCAGCGCCAGAGCACAGGCUCAAGCAUUAUUGGGGCCGCCAGCCCCCCUUGCAGGCGGCCUUUUUAACCCGAAGCCACACGC